rnacentral:rRNA from 1 species
AGUGAACGCUGGCGGUAGGCCUAACACAUGCAAGUCGAACGGCAGCACAGUAAGAGCUUGCUCUUACGGGUGGCGAGUGGCGGACGGGUGAGGAAUACAUCGGAAUCUACUUUUUCGUGGGGGAUAACGUAGGGAAACUUACGCUAAUACCGCAUACGACCUACGGGUGAAAGCAGGGGAUCUUCGGACCUUGCGCGAUUGAAUGAGCCGAUGUCGGAUUAGCUAGUUGGCGGGGUAAAGGCCCACCAAGGCGACGAUCCGUAGCUGGUCUGAGAGGAUGAUCAGCCACACUGGAACUGAGACACGGUCCAGACUCCGACGGGAGGCAGCAGUGGGGAAUAGUGGACAAUGGGCGCAAGCCUGAUCCAGCCAUACCGCGUGGGUGAAGAAGGCCUGCGGGUUGUAAAGCCCUUUUGUUGGGAAAGAAAAGCAGCAGGUUAAUACCCCGCUGUUCUGACGGUACCCAAAGAAUAAGCACCGGCUAACUUCGU